CUUCCUUCAACCAACCCUCGCCUCUAGGCAGACGCUUCGCAGAGGCAAAAGCUCGAACACAUGGCGCGCGCCCUAGUCCGCCGGGCUCUCUCCCUCGCCGCCGCGGCCUCCUCCCCGGCGAAACCAUCCUUCUCCACCGUCGUCGCGCCGCUGCGCUCCCCGAUGGACGACCGCCUCCUCCGCCUCCUGCGCUCCGAGAUCAACUACAUCUCCGAACGCCGCCCUCCCUACCCGCCGCCGAAGGCCUUCAAAUCGUUCGGGGUGGAGGACCGCCCGGGGGAGCAGUGGGUGCGCCUCCGCGCCACCCGCGGCGCCCAGGACGAGGAGGUCAAGGUCGACGCCACCAUGUUCGACGGCGCCGCCGCCCCGCCCCCAGACGCGCCCCUCUUCCGCCGCGUCGAGUCGCUCGAGCGCGGCCCGCGCCUCCACCUCAGCCUCAUCGUCGAGGUCUCCCGGGCGGACCGCGUCCUCGGCUUCAUCUGCUCCGCCUGGCACGACGAACUCGUCGUCCGCCACGUCCUCACUCUCCGGGACGCCGAUGGCUCCAGCACCAGCAGCGGAGGCCGCGACUUCGUCAAGCUGGAGGCUAGGGAGAGGGAGUCGGUGAGGAAAUUCUUGCAGGAGAGGGAGGUGGAUGACGAGCUUGCCGAGUUCUUGCACGACUACAUGGCGAACAAGGAAAAGAUGGAGCUUCUCCGGUGGUUGAAGACUGUCGAAUCAUUCGUCGAGAAGUAGGCACAGGAGAAGCAGAUAAAUCAGGGAAUCCAAUCCCUUGGUUGGCUUGGCUUGGCUUGGCUCCACGCUUUCGAGAAGAAGCACACAGACAAAAUCACAGAUACUAGUUCUUAACUCUUUGAGUGACCGAGCUCGAGCUAAAACCCUACUACAGUUAAUGACUGAACCUGUUUUCCUCCGCAAUGCUUGUUGUAGUAAAGAAAUGGUGAGGAGGAGUUCCUUGCUGGUAUCCGCAUGACUCUGGACUUAUUUCAAAGUUCAAACUAUGGGAACUGAAAACAAAUAGCGUCUGGGAAGUGAUGAUAAGAGCUGCUGUCCUACACACCAUGUAAAUUAUCCACCUCAGUGGUUCAAUCCCAUUGUUCGUGCUGUAUGACUCUAGCAAUGAGCUGGGUUUUCAGCAUAUUCUGUGGUUCAAUUCUAGUCACAUUUGAGAAGAUCACUAGGCACGCUCGUCUGAUUAUAUUGGUGCUAUGGAGCACUACCAUUUGCUGUGGAAUACAGACAAUUCUUAUGCGGUUGGUUGUAUGGCAAUUGCUCGCCUAUUCAUUUUUAUUUUAAACAAUAUAAGUAGAUCUCCUACUGUGCUUGUUUUGAAUUGC